GAAGGGACCUGUGUAAGAGACUUAAAUCUGACAUGUUGAUGAUCUCAAAUACAAAUGUAAUUGCAUUGUGGAAUUGCAUUUGGAAACUUCUGCUCUCAGGAAGGACGCUGCUGAGAUGCAGCCAGGAAGGAGUCUCCAAGAACGAAUCACAUGAUGCAGGGCUACUCCCAGCAGGGCUCCGUCCCAUCUGCAUCUUGGCAACAUGUUGA
rnacentral:lncRNA from 11 species